UUGCCCUGCGGAAUGCUCGGGUCCGCCGCAUCUCCUGGGCCCGCAGGUCUGGUCGGCGGGCGAUGGCUCGGAAGGCCUCUCCGUCCCAUCGCCCGCCGAUUCCAGA
rnacentral:sRNA from 17 species